rnacentral:lncRNA from 1 species
UUUUGAUUUAAAAUUUUGAGAAUUAUAAUUUCAACAAUUAGAAGACAAUUAACAUCAUAUUUGUAACCUUCGCGGCCGUUUAUACUACUCAUUCACCACCAAAUGUGAUUUUAUUAACGCCAUGUACCACAGAAUUUUAUGUGGGGUUUGUUGUACUCCAUCCUGGUCAUGGUUUGAAUUUUUAUUUUACUGAUGUGCGUCUUAUCGACGUUUUU